UGGGGAAUUUUGGACAAUGGGCGAAAGCCUGAUCCAGCAAUGCCGCGUGUGUGAAGAAGGCCUUCGGGUUGUAAAGCACUUUUGUCCGGAAAGAAAUCCUUGGCUCUAAUACAGUCGGGGGAUGACGGUACCGGAAGAAUAAGCACCGGCUAACUACGUGCCAGCAGCCGCGGUAAUACGUAGGGUGCAAGCGUUAAUCGGAAUUACUGGGCGUAAAGCGUGCGCAGGCGGUUUGCUAAGACCGAUGUGAAAUCCCCGGGCUCAACCUGGGAACUGCAUUGGUGACUGGCAGGCUAGAGUAUGGCAGAGGGGGGUAGAAUUCCACGUGUAGCAGUGAAAUGCGUAGAGAUGUGGAGGAAUACCGAUGGCGAAGGCAGCCCCCUGGGCCAAAUACUGACGCUCAUGCACGAAAGCGUGGGGAGCAAACAGGAUUAGAUACCCUGGUAGUCCNCGCCCUAAACGAUGUCAACUAGUUGUUGGGGAUUCAUUUCCUAGUAACGUAGCUAACGCGUGAAGUUGACCGCCUGGGGAGUACGGUCGCAAGAUUAAACUUAAUGAAUUGACGGGGUCAUAGCUGUUUCCU
rnacentral:rRNA from 1 species